AGAGAAAUGAUGAGAGCCUAAAGUAAGAGAAAAGAGGAGAGACAUUUGUUAAUAUACACAUCAUCUUUUCCUAAACAGUUCUAGUAGCCUUAGAACCUGCCUUCCCAAGUGUUGGCAUCAUGAAGACAGAAGCUGAGAGAAUCAUCAGCUUGGAGCAAAGCGAAAAACAAAAGCAGAAAAGACAAAAGGAAAAAUACCACAUUUUUCCCCCCGAGAGCACCAGUGGAACCGAGAACUUCCAGCCUGGGCCUGACCCUCUCUGUCCCAGCGAAGGACAAUCCCAGGUUCUUUGCAGGACAGCAAAUGACAGCAGAGAAGAUUCUGGAGAAACGUGUCCAUCUGUGUUCAUGGUGGAAACUGAUGAAGAAAUCUUCUUCCAAAGAGCCAUUGUCCACCCUGAGCCCAUAUGGACUCUGUCAAAGGGCUCCCUGGAUCCUGGCUUUAGUUAGGCUCAGUGAGCGGGAGGUGCCGGCCAGAGACCAGAAGCUGGGAGGAGGAUGAGAAUGGAGCAUUUCUUCCCACGGGAUGGUCACAUGGUAAGUCAGGGAGUUGGGAGUCCCUCUCCAAGUUUUGGAAACUACUCACUCCCUGCCCUUUCAGGCCUUGAGGUGGUACUGGCUCCUUUCUGCUGCUGGUCCCAGAAUCCUACACCAUCUCUUGCUCUCUCCACAUCUUGUCCGUACUUUGUAAGUCACUGGGUUUUUUGUUUGUUUGUUUUGUUUUAAUUAAACUCUCUUCAAAUUACUCAGUUUGAGUGUGCUGUUUCCUGACCGGAUCCUAACAGAUAGAGGCACAUGGCAGUUGACAUUUUGCACUUAAAUCUUUGACUAUCCUCAAUUUGCCUCUAGAAGUUUCAGAUAAAUUCUUAAAAGUGGAUCAACAGAUAAACAUAUGUUUGCACCACUUCAUUCCUAUUUGCCACAUUACUUUCCAAAGAUCAGUGAUGCCAAAUUAUGCUCCGACUAGUACUCGUUGAUAAAGUUAACAAUUACCACUUUGAAUCUUCA
rnacentral:lncRNA from 1 species